rnacentral:rRNA from 1 species
UACGUAGGGUCCGAGCGUUGUCCGGAAUUAUUGGGCGUAAAGGGCUCGUAGGCGGUUCGUCACGUCGGGAGUGAAAACUCGGAGCUUAACUCCGAGCCUGCUUCCGAUACGGGCAGACUAGAGGUAGGCAGGGGAGAGCGGAACUCCUGGUGUAGCGGUGGAAUGCGCAGAUAUCAGGAAGAACACCGGUGGCGAAGGCGGAUCUCUGGGCCUUGCCUGACGCUGAGACGCGAAAGCGUGGGGAGCAAACAGG